CCUUUUCUCCUUUUCUUUUCUCUCCUCUCUCUGGAGCACGACCCAUUCCCUUUCUUUCUUUCCUCUUCCUUCUCUUUUCUUCUUCUCUUCUACCCCUUCACGCACGCACUGCCGCCCUCCACAUUUCUCUCAACCUCGCCUUUCCUCUUCCUCCCUUCUCCUUCCUUCUCUUUCAUUUUUCCUCUCCUUUUCGGCUCACACGCACCUAUAUGGGUGACCCAACCCGAGAGCCCAUGGACAAAUUCUGAGAACCCGUGAGAGACAAAAGAAGUGCCAUUUUUCAGUGGGACAAGCCGGUGAUGCCGUCGGAACUAAGGGCGCGAUUUCCGGUGAUUUUCUAGCGAGCUGUGGCUGCUUUCGGCGUAAUUUCAGUAGGCUUUUUCAGUGGGUCUUAAGCCCAGAAGCUAUAGGGUCGUGUCAUAAUUAGAGACUUCAAUGGGUUUUCCAAUGUAAAGUUUGAGUCGUGAGUCCAAUGCAGCCCAAGAUGAUGUUCUUUUGGCUGCAGGUAUUCCGGUCGUAGUUGAUAGCAUUGUAGAAGGGUAUUUUGGAUGUUAUGACUGAAGCACGCCGCAACGGUCGUAAUUGGUGGACCACGGGUUGUCCACUUGUUUAUAGGUUUGGUUUAUGGCUUGUGACGUUUGUGUCACUUGUUAUUGUACAAAACCAUUUAUGUCACUUAUUUAAUUCGUGGAAAGAUUUAAUCAUAUAGAUAUUUAAUGGCUCUUUGUUGUAAUUAUUUGUGAUAGAUGUAUAAGAUAUGAUUUCCGCUA